GGAUGUGGGGGCUCCCUGGCUGCUGCAAGUGUCACCCCUUUGAUUGCCAGGGUUGAUCUAGCUGACUAGUGUCCUCUUCCUCCCUCACUGCUCCAUGUGCGUCCCUCCUUGAGGUUUGGUCAAAGAGGAUGAACUUUCCCCAACAGAGACAGGCAGGUCAUUAGUCAAGGGCACAAGAGUAACUGCAUUCCCCUUCUAGAACCUCUAAGCAAGCUGUCAAAAUAAUGACUGCCUAGCUAAAUACAAAUCUGGACGAUAAAAACAAACAAGAAAGGCAGGGGUAGAUAGCAUUGAUGGUUAUGCAAAGAGACUCUCAUGCCUGAGGCU
ensembl:misc_RNA 7SK 7SK RNA